AUGUCCUUGGCAUUCACGUUCGCGGCGUCCACCAACCUCUUCACCCGGGACACGUCCCCAUUCCGACAGGCCUCGAGCAGCUCCCGCAGGGCCCCACUCACGGCUGGGACCCCCGGGCCGAGGCCCGCCGCCCCGGCUCCCAAAGUUGCCGUGGAGCCAACUCCGGCCGCCUCGGGACUCUCCGCUAAGCUCGAGCCAGGGGAGGACGGGGAGGAAGACGAAGACGAAGUCGGGGAAGAAGCGGACGACGCGGAGUUGUUCCCGCCGCCGCCGCCGCCGCCGGCUGGGGUGGGAGCGACCCCGACGGCGGCGGAAGCUGCCGGGACCGCGGCCGGAGCAGCCACGGUGCAGACGGCGCCGUCCACCGGGUCGGGAGAUCGCGGCCUGUCGGGCGGGUCCCGGCUGCCAUCCCCCUCCGGCAGCGCCAGGCCGUGCCGCGGGGAGGCGAAGGGCGCCAGGCCGCCGGCCGUAGGCGAGGCAGGGGUGGGUCCCGGGGCCAAGCCCGGGCUGAGCGGCGGGGGAGGUGGCGGUGGCGGAGCCGAAGCCCCUGGGGCGGGCUGGAGCUGUUGCUGAUGAUGGUGGUGAUGAUGCUGAGAGCGACGCGACGCCGCCAUCUUCCCACUCCCCCGUACUGUCACUGCGGCAACGGCGCCACCGCCCGCCCUCACUUCCGGAUUCUGGACCAAUCGGGAUCCAACAUACCCGGAAAUGAUUCCUGCCGAAGUGGGUGGAGUCCGAGAGAAGAAGGGAAGUAUUGGAAGCUCAGAGAACAACCAGCCUGGGGGCGUGGCUUAGUAGUGGAGCGACGGGCUUUUGUGACGCCCUGGCGGGCUGGCUGGGCAGAUUUGAAAGUUGUGGUGAGCCACUACCUGUCUGAGAAACUUCUGCCUUCCUUCACUUUCUGCGGGAUUGCUUCGGUCGGCUUCAGUCUUCCCUCGGGUACCCGUCAGUCUGCGGUGUCUCCCUUCAGAAGAAGCUAUUAAAGUGUAACUUAUGCAAACAUCUACCAAACGUCCUCGUCCGAAAAUGGAAUUAAUAGUACCCACCUCACAAAGUUGUUUGCAGGAAUGAAGUGAGCUAAUGCAUACAAACGCUCUGAAGAAUAAUUAUAAUUAGCACAUUGGGAAUAUUUUUAAAUGCAGUGUUAGAUAUCUCUCC
rnacentral:lncRNA from 1 species